UUGCAAAAAAGAACAAUUUAAUAAUAAAGACAUUAGAGUUAAAUAUUUAGCAGAAGAUGUUUUAUUGAUAAUAUAGUUAUUAAAGGGGGAGUAUUACAGUACACACUCUUCAACUGAUCAACUCAUAUGUAACGACAACAUACUUAAGCACCACACUGGAAUUAUCAUAAACCAAGCCAAAUUAAGGCAUGCACACUCAUUUAUCUGGAUCAAGAAAACAAUUAAAACAAACUUAAUUUAUGGCAUAAGCCAUGCACACACUAUGGGAUACUUAAUUAGCAAGGAGGUAAGCCUCAACGGCCUUGAAUAUGAGCCCUGCCUUCUCGGUGGCAUCCUUAAUGUUCUCUUCUGGGAUCACGGCGUCGCCUAUGGUGUUGUAAAUGGUGGUGUUCUUAACAAUGGACCCUCCAUCCGGAGUAGGCACAAUAGUGAAAUGAUUAACGAUGGAUUCGAUUAUGUCCAACAGGAUAUCGCCUCCGAUGAUGGAGUAAGUGUAGGUCAACGCGUCCUUGUCAAUUGCAUCUAUCCGUUGCUUCAUGGUGUUGAAUUGGCUGGCUGUAGAAUCAGAUUUACAUUCAAUAUAUAUAAAUAAACAUUCGGUUAAUUAAUUGGAACAGUACUCGAUCAAUAUUACAUACAUAUAUAAUAUUUCAUUAAUUAACACCAAUUUAUAUAUAAGUGAGUACGUACGUACUGAUAUAUUCACAGUUAACAUCCAUUAUUAUUAUUGUUUCAAUUCAGACGGUCUUCUCGAUCUUCCAUUUUAAAUAGAAUAGUACUGGUCUUUUCAUCUUCUUGAUCAGUAGAAUGCAUAUAUGAUAGGCAAAUUAAAUGUGGCAAAUUAAUUAAGUACCUUCGCCAAGAGUGACGAGCUUGACGGUUCCAACACCACCAUCACCCUCAAUAAUUUCACUACUCUUGAUAGCUUGAGGAAAAGCCUUGGGGAGAAUGUCGUCAAUGUCAAGCAGAAGUCCCGCGUACAAUUUCUGUGCUGGGACAGUGGAAGUAGCCUCAACUUCGGUCUUUUGGACACCCAUUAUUUAUGGAUAUAUGUUUUAGUUUGGAGAUUGAACUAGAGUGUAUAUAUAUAAAACACAAUUAAGAGGAUGAAGAGUACUACUAGUAUAGUAAGGUUUUGGUGUGAGGAAAUGAGAGAACUAGAGCUCCUAUUUAUACUACUACUACUACUACAUGGCAUGGGACUACUGUGGGAGGGAGGUCUUAAAUUGUACUACUAGUAAUUAGCUAGGUGUGAAGACGUACUAGAAAACUGCCAACCAGAUGAUUCCAUAUAGUAUAAUCUGGAGUCAAUAAUAAUUUUAAUGUUUGCCUAUCAAAGUUGAACAGAUCAAAGUCUUGGUUACUACUACAUUUAAGUAGGUAGAUCAGGCUUUCAGCGUUAAUGGGAAGGUGUGCCUGCCCAUACCUAUUCCUAUUCCCUAUCAUCGAUCAGAUAAAUGGAGUAACUUUCUUUAAAAAUUGAUCAAAAGGUAGAUUUUUAUUUUAACUUUCUAACUGCUAAAGCAUUAGUAGAAUGAUCAUUAUCGAUCAUUAAACAAUUUCUAAUUAAUUUUAAUUGUUCAUUUUUGUCGGGAUCAAUACAUAAUUUUAACAUAUCAUUCACAGCUAGCUAGCUAGCAUAUCAGAUAGAAUAAAAUUUUUAGUAAAAUAUUGAUAGCAUGCAUUAAUAAUUGAGAGUUUCGUCUGUCCUAUAUACUCGCUCAUUUGGAAAUGGGGGACGCGCGGGACGUUAGAAAAUGGAGUUGAAAGAGACUUAAAUUUAAUUCCAUGUCCAUGUAGAUAGAUGAUCGAUCUGAUCUGGUAAACUUACUUCACUAGAAGGGAAUAGCCGCCCUUCUUGACACGAAUUAAGAAAGAUACUACUCGUAAUGUUUGGUGGGGCCACCUUCUAGAGUAGACAGGUCGAUUGUGAGUCACAGGACAUGACAUGAGGCAACAAAAAAUUCAAAUUAAUUAUUAUUAACAAUAUUUCGAUCCGCAGAGAUUUGGCUAAUGCAUCAAGUCAUGUGGUUCAAUUCAAUAAUCGAUUUCGUUUUUUAGAGAUCUAGAUCUACCUUUUUCAUCUUUUGGCUAGUAGUGACCAAGUCACUAUUAACUUUCGCAAUAUAUAUAUAUAUAUAUAUAUAUAUAUGUGUGUGGUUUUUCUUCUGGAUGUAAUAAGAGAUAGAUACUAAUGUAUAUCCAAAAAAUCACCAUGCUUUAGAAAUUAAUGGACAAUCAAGAAAGACAAUUACAGCUAGUUUAUAUCCAAAAAUAUAUAACAGAUAGAAAGAGAGAUUUCAUGGGUUUACAUUGAAGGUAGAGUGAGUUGACGAAGAAGAAGAUUCAACUCUAGCUUUCUUUGCUGACCCACCAGUGGCUGUGCUGUUACACUGAUUAAUUCACAGUAGAAAUUAACUAAAAAGUACAUCUUAAUUAAUGUGAUAUAUAAAUCAAANNNNNNNNNNNNNNNNNNNNNNNNNNNNNNNNNNNNNNNNNNNNNNNNNNNNNNNNNNNNNNNNNNNNNNNNNNNNNNNNNNNNNNNNNNNNNNNNNNNNUGAGACUAAUAUCGUUAAUGUUGUCGAUUUAAUAUUAUUUUUACAACAGAUCAUGAACGUUUAUUCUAAGAUCGAACGGUUUAAUAGAGCUUUGGGACAGAUGAUCAAAAUAUUCUUUCUUAUAAAAGUUUUCGUCCACAGUAUUAAACUGUGGACGCUAUGUAUGACCAAAUGGUCAACUGAAAACGACAUUGCUUGUAAAUAAAUCUCGUUUGCAGUAUUAAACUGAGGAUGUCAAGUUUUUUUUAAUUUUUUUUUUUAGUUUUCAAGGUUCGAUCAAUUCCUAAGAUUGUAGUCAUUGGUGUUUGUCUGAAAUGCCGGAUACUAGGAAUGUAUUGUUAUAUGCUUUUCUCUUGAAGAUUGGAAAAGGAUCGUGGAAGAUUCGAAAAGAAAUUUUAAGAGAUUGCAUAUUUGCAUUCAACAUGCUGACACAUUUUUUCACAAAGGGUGAUGGUUUAAGUUGACCUAGAUGACAGAUAUAUCAUUCGGAUGAGUGUAAAAUUCCAAAAAAAUAUCAUUGACAUUCAACAUGAUCGGAGCCUUGAAAAUUAAAAAAAAAUUAAAUUUGGUAUUCGCAGUUUAAUACUGCAGACGAGACUUAUUAGUUGACCAUUUGACAAUAUCUAGCGUCAGUAGUAUUAAAUUGCGGACGGGAGACUUGCAAAAAAGAGACAUUUUGAUCUUUUGUUUUGUCCGCAGUAUUAAAAGAUUGCAUCAAAAUUGAUUUUGUUGGCUCUAUUUUUAUGAGAAGGAUAUUGUAUUUUCUGUUGAAUUUUUGAAUGAUAUAUUUGCUCAAGAAUUUAGCUCUAUAUACAAUUUUCUUUGUUUCGACUCAAAUUUGAAGUGUGUUAUAGACAAAUAAUAUUUGAAAACCUUGACAUACCUUUUUUUUGGAAAGAUCAAAUCUCAGUCUCAAUGCCAAAUGGAGGUUUUUCUUGCUCGCUCAGUCUUAAUGAGAAGUACUUUUUUUUUUUUUUUUUUUGCAUGUUGAAAUAGGAGGAGAUCAAGAAAAAAUUGUUAUUCUGUGCUCUGUACCGUAGCAAAUAGCAAGGUUCGGAGAACGUCAAAUAUAUAUAUGCAGCCUUAAAAAAGAAACAUUAUAGCUGAAUUCCUCGUAUCAUUUGGUUCACUUCUUCUGGAAAGACAAUGCCAACUACAUGAUGGGAUGGCCCAACUAUAUUAAUUUGGCUCCAAUAUAUUCCAUCCGUCCCAAAUUAAUUAUUCAAUUUUGAUUUUUUAAAAUUAAAUUGACCAUUUUUAAAACUAAUCUUUUUACUAUUUUUGCUAAAAUAUAGGUGAAGAGAUUAUAACCAAAAGAAAAUAUAUACAAUUUAUUACUAACCCCAAUUUUUAUAAUUUUAGAAAUAUAUUUAUAUAUGCUUAAUUAUUAAUUCUAAAAAUAGUCAAUUUGAUUUAAAAAAAUAAAAAAUAAAUAAUUAAUUUGAGACAGAGGGAGUAUAUUCCUAUAUAUCCACUAUCACUAUCUCUUCAUAAUUAUUGGUUCUGUAUUGUUUUUGUUUUGCUACAUAUUUUUUUUGUAUGAUCAACAAAUUUUACUCUAUUUUCUUAUAUACUCCUUCCUUUAUUCGUUUUAGAGCUAUACAUAAAUAUUAAAAAAAUAAUUAUAAAAUAUUAAAUAUAAUAUCAAUUAUUUAUAUUGCGUAUCGAAAAAAAAGAAUGUUAUUUAUUAGAUAAAAAAUAGUGAGACAACCAAAAUUAUAUUUAACCAAUACCUUUUUAUUGAUAUAGUGGUUACAUAUAUAUCAAAGGAGGGUGCAACACAUGACUCAUAAUAAUAACAACAAACUUGAACCAUAUAUAUAUCAUGGUACUGGAGAGGCAACACAAUUAUAUAUCAUGUUCUUCAGCCGAAAGAAAAGCAUAUAUAUAAAUUAAUUAAGCCUCAUUCAUAUAUAGAAUAUGGAAUGAGUUAACUUAGUAGGCACCAGGAUUUGCAAGGAGGUAGGCCUCAACAGCCUUGAAUAUGAGUCCAGACUUCUCAGUAGCUUCCUUAAUAUUCUCUUCUGGAAUCACGGCGUCGCCUAUGGGGUUAUAUAUGG
rnacentral:lncRNA from 1 species